UCUUAAAGAUGAGCAAGGAAAGUGGUUUCUUGAGAUGGAAUCUACUGCUGGUGAAGACACUGUGAGAA
rnacentral:pre_miRNA from 1 species